AUUGAACGCUGGCGGCAGGCCUAACACAUGCAAGUCAAUUUGUGGCGGACGGGUGAGUAACGCGUAAAGAACUUGCCUCACAGCUAGGGACAACAUUUGGAAACGAAUGCUAAUACCUGAUACUGUGAGAGAGCUUUGCGUCCCAUUAGCUAGUUGGGGAGGUAACGGCUCACAAAGGCGAUGAUGGGUAGCCGGCCUGAGCGGGUGAUCGGCCACAAGGGGACUGAGACACAGCGCUUACACCUACGGGAGGGAGCAGUGGAGGAUAUUGGACAAUGGACCAAAGUCUGAUCCAGCAAUUCGGUGUGCACGAUGAAGUUUUCGGAAUGUAAAGUGCUUUCAGUUGGGAAGCGGUGCCAACAGAAGAAGUGACGGCUAAAUACGUGCCAGCAGCCGCGGUAAUUC
rnacentral:rRNA from 1 species